rnacentral:tRNA from 2 species
GGAGGCGGGCGGGUGCCUGGUGGCCCUCACGGUCUUCAACACCGAUGCGGCCGGGCACCCCGGCCGGGUGGGUUCGAUUCCCAUACGCCUCCGCCA